GAAUUAUUUGCUAAUGAAUAAAGGGUGUAGAUUUUAUCUUAUAAAUAGGAACAUUGCUCUCAUUGUUAUAUGGAAGCCUUGUUACUUGGCUGCAGACAGUGCUAUAUCUAGUUAGUAUACCUUGCAUUUUUUUCUUGCAGCACAAUGAAAAGGUUACUAUACUAAUUUCUUAAAUUUUAAAGACUAGCAAAAUGCCUUUUGUGAUCUUAAUAGCCAUAAGGAUAGGCAGGCCGGUUUAGAUGACCAGUUAAAGCCGGUUUAGAUGACCA
rnacentral:lncRNA from 1 species